AACAACCUGCCUUCAGGAUGGGGACAACAGACGGAAACGACUGCUAAUACCGAAUGUGUUCCGGAGACCGCAUGAUUUCCGGAAGAAAGGAUGGCCUCUAUUUAUAAGCUAUCGCCUGAAGAGGGGUUUGCGUCUGAUUAGGCAGUUGGUGAGGUAACGGCCCACCAAACCUACGAUCAGUAGCCGGUCUGAGAGGAUGAACGGCCACACUGGAACUGAGACACGGUCCAGACUCCUACGGGAGGCAGCAGUGGGGAAUCUUCCGCAAUGGACGAAAGUCUGACGGAGCAACGCCGCGUGAGUGAUGACGGCCUUCGGGUUGUAAAGCUCUGUGAUCGGGGACGAAUGGCUGGUAUGCUAAUACCAUAUCAGAGUGACGGUACCCGAAUGGCAAGCCACGGCUAACUACGUGCCAGCAGCCGCGGUAAUACGUAGGUGGCAAGCGUUGUCCGGAAUUAUUGGGCGUAAAGCGCGCGCAGGCGGCUUCUUAAGUCCAUCUUAAAAGUGCGGGGCUUAACCCCGUGAUGGGAUGGAAACUGGGAGGCUGGAGUAUCGGAGAGGAAAGUGGAAUUCCUAGUGUAGCGGUGAAAUGCGUAGAGAUUAGGAAGAACACCGGUGGCGAAGGCGACUUU
rnacentral:rRNA from 1 species